GAUAAACAAAUUGCUAAGAAGAGAUAAUUAUUGAGGGAGUGUGUAUGAUGAGAUAAUAAAAAACUCAAAUUAAGAAAAUUUUUAAUGCAUAUUUAGGAUAGGAUGUAAUAUAUUUGGUAUUAAAUAAUUAUAGUGAAAAAAAUAUAAUUCUAUAAAAAAGAAACAUAAAAUAUCAACAUAAAUACACACCAACCCAUAUUUUUAAGUGUGAAAAACUUGAUUAAACCUUACAAUAAAAAAGCUCAAAAGAAGAAAAUAAGAAUUGAAGAAUAAAAUGUCACAAUCUUCUCAUUAUGGAUAAACUUUCUUUCAAUAGAUGGCUGGUCAAAAGCAUAAGCUCUCGCAUCAUAAGAACAAUCAUUUUUCACAUAAUAAUAUCACUUAAAUGGUGUAAUUGAAUCAAGUUAGGAAAGUCAGUGAUCAAUUACAAUGGGCAUCAUGAAAUAUGGCUCCUAAUAUGAAUCUAUCUAAAAUGUAAUUUGAAGGUUGAAAUUCAUAUUAAAAAAGUAUAUAUAUUAUAGCCAUCAAUCAAAUAUAGUGAUAACUCAAAGAGAUGAGAUAAUAAUAAGCAGAAGCAAA